GACGAACGCUGGCGGCGUGCUUAACACAUGCAAGUCGAACGGAAAGGCCCUGCUUUUGUGGGGUGCUCGAGUUGCGAACGGGUGACUAACACGUGAGUAACCUGCCCUUGACUUUGGGAUAACUUCAUGAAACUUGAGCUAAUACCGGAUACGAUCUCCUGCUUCAUGGUGGGGCUUGGAAAGUUUCGGCGGUUGGGGAUGGACUCGCGUCUUAUCAGCUUGUUGGUGGGGUAGUGGCUUACCAAGGCUUGGACGGGUAGCAGACCUGAGAGGAUGAGCGGACACGUUAGACAUGAGAUAAGACACAGACGACAACGGGAGGCAGCAGAGGAGAAUAUUGCAAAAUGGGAGGAAGAAUAAUGCAAUAAAGCAACGUGGGGGAUGACAGGAAGCGGGUAGUAAAGAGAUUUUGCCUGACACGAAACGAGAAUGACGGUAAUGGGUGAAGAAGCGCCGGCUAACUACGUG
rnacentral:rRNA from 1 species